AUUAGCCUAAGUUAGCCCAUCUCUAAUCUAAUAAAGUAAUACAGACUUAGUAGACAGAAAGAGAAGUACAUUAAUAAAAACAAAACCCAGAAAUAACAAAGAUAAUAGAAUUAGUAGGCAUGGGCCCUAAAUCAUCUGUUAUAACUAUAUUCUAUAUUUUCAAGAAGCCAGAGGAAAGAUUGGAUAUAUUAAAUAAAGACAUAGAAGAAUACCCAGGUGUGCCGUAAUAAAUUUGCUGGAGAAUACUGAUAAAGACAAGACCUUAAAAGCAGCCAGGGAGGAAAAGAUAUCACAUGCAAAAGCAAGAAUAACAAAAGACUUCUCAGGAGAAACUAUAGAAGUCAAAGGACCAUGGAGCAAAAUCUUUAAAGUCCCGAAUGGAAAGCAAGCAAAAAACUCUCAACCUGGCAUUCUCUACCUGCAGAAAAUAUCAUUAAAAAAUCAAGCAACAUAAAGACUUUACACGACAAACUCAAGCUGAGAGGUCUACUACCAGCAGAAUGCUCUCUGCUCUCAGACUUCUGUCAGUGCAGGCACCCCCACCUCAGGAGCUCCCCCCAGCCCCCCAUCAGAACAUCCCAGGAGAUCUGCCUCUUCCUCACACACCCCAAACCAGGGACCACCGUGCCAAGAAGAGCUUCUUGUUUCCCUGAAAAGAAAACUGUGCCGAGGGAGAAGAGAAGCAAAUAAAUAUUCCUGGAGCAGAAUCAAGAAAUCUGAAAUCCUCUUCUCAGGAGAAAGUUUCAGCAGGGUUGAAAGUAAAGAUGAAGAAACGAUGACAAUGAAAAAAAUUCUUUGUUUCCUUCUCAAAACUGAAGGAGAGGGCGAUUACCUAUAACUUGUAUUCAUAAAAAUAUACACUAUCCUCUUUUUCUACUCAUUCAUUCAUCAACAAAUACUGACUUAACACUGGUCUGCUCCAGGCCCUUCUCCUCCCCAGCUCCUCAGCACGACAGGCUGACCCUCAGUGGUGGGUAGAGCACAGUCAGGCUCUAAAAUCCCCGCCUUCUCCCCAGGUUUAUGUCCAGCGACAGUGGAAAAUCACAGGCAGCUUUGACCUCUGCACAGACUGCCAGAAGGCAUGGAACUGAACUGGGGCUACAUUACAGUUAUUAACAUUUCAAAAAUUUGCUGCACACUUCUAAUGCUGCAUUAAGGAGGGCUGUUGCCUUAAAAUAUGAGGCAUCAAGAAAUUGAAAAGCUGAAGUUUGUUACAAAGACAUCAUUCAAAACAAGAGUCAAACCCUGGGGGGCGCCUGGGUGGCACAGCGGUUAAGCGGCUGACUUCGGCUCAGGGCGUGAUCCCGGCGUUAUGGGAUCGAGCCCCACAUCGGGCUCCUCUGCUAUGA